CGUACAGUGAACGUGUUUCCUUGUAUUUAGAUAAUUUCUCUUUAUUUUCUAUCAUCUCUGUUUGAAUAUGAAUAUUUUUUAUUUUAAAUCCACCAUUCAUUCUAAACCGAUACCGUGCUGCAUCUUUCACCUAUGUCAAGACUUUUUUCUUUAUAUGUUCUUCGGGUUUCUUCUGCUGACGUGUCAUUCCUUGGGGUUCAGUUUAGAGACACUGCAUCCAAGAGUUUUCACUGCGCCCGAGGUAGGCUCUCAUUUCGGCCAUCAGGUUUGUCAUUUUGGACCAACACAAGGAGACAGGUGUGUGGUCCUCGUCUGAAGCAUAAAUGUGAGGGGUUUAACUAUCUUAAUGGUCAGUGUGUGGAGAUCAACCCACACUUCACUGCUGAUGACACACUGAAGCCAGCUUUCCAGGAGUGUCAUGAUAUUCCCCCUCUGGAUACAGUUAUUCUGUUUGAUGACUCUGGCAGUAUCACCUCAGAAAAUUUUGAAACAAUGAUCAGAUUCAUCAAGAACUUAAUUGCCAUGUUUUUGGAUACACGAGCACAGGUGGCAGUGGCCAAAUUCUCCACAAGAGUUUCAGCUGUCUUUCACUUUGAGAACUUUGCAGCGAAUCAAGACCCUGAACAACUAAUGAAAGAUGUGACCCAGGCACAGGGAGAUACAUACACACCUUCUGCAAUACGUUUUGUUAUAGAAGAGAUGUUUUCUGAGAAGGUGGGCAUGCGAAGCAACUCUCAGAAGUUAUUGUUGGUGAUCACUGAUGGAAAAUCAAAUGACCCCAAAGAGGAAUUUAAGAAUGUCAUCCUGAAAGCCAAUGAACAAGACAUCACACGAUUUGCCAUUGGGGUUGGUAAGGAGUACUCUCAUCCUGAGCUGGAGCUGAUUGCUUCAUCUCCUCACUUUGUUUUUGAGACAGAGAGUUUCAGUGCUCUCACCUUGAUACUAAACCAGCUAAGGGAAAAAAUAUUCUCUAUUGAAGGAACUGACACAGGGAACUUCAGCUCUUUUCAGAUGGAAUUAUCACAGGGGGGUUUCAGUGUGGCCCUUUCAGAGGGUUCAAGGAUGUUUGGAGCGGUUGGGGCAUACUCCUGGUCAGGAGGAAUAAUGCAGGAUCUCACUCAUCAAAUGCUCAAUUCAUCAUUCAUUAAUGCCACAAAUAUGGAGGAGGACAUUAAAGAUUCCUAUUUGGGUUACUCAGUUGCUGUGGCGCCAGUAAAUGGUCAUGUUGUGUACUUUGCGGGAGCACCAAGGCAUAGACACACAGGGCUGGUGCUGGGGUUUACACAGAACAAACGGAACCACAGUUGGACCAUCAGUCAUAGGAUAUACGGAUCACAGCUGGGCUCGUAUUUUGGGGCAGAAUUAUGUGUGGUUGGUGUUUCUGAGUUGUUAGCAGUCGGAGCUCCGUUAUAUCACGCUCAUGGAGUGGGAGGAGAGGUCCGGAUAUGCUCACUAAACACUACAAUCCAAGAACUCAACUGCUCAGCGAUUUUGCGUGGGGUGAAGGGGAAUGAGUUUGGCCGGUUUGGUACUUCUCUGGCAGCCAUACAGGACCUGAAUGGAGAUGGCUUUAAAGAGUUGGCGGUGGGGGCACCUCAAGAAGAGAAGGGCAAGGGUGCCAUUUACAUAUUUUUGGGACAACCAGGUGGUAUCAGAACAGAAUACAGUCAGAGAGUGAGUGGAGCAGCUGUGGGAAGUGGGCUGCAGUAUUUUGGAGUCGCUCUCCACUCUGCGGGAGAUCUGACCUCAGACGCUCUUACUGAUGUAGUGGUGGGCUCUAGAGGUGCAGUUACAGUACUAAGGUCUCAGCCUGUCAUGUGUUUGCCUAUAAAUGUUACUGUUGACCCACCAAUCAUCAGUCAGAAAUUCUUUCAUUGCUCUGCCCCGCUUGAUCGCAACACCCCUGUUGCCACAGUUACAGUCUGUGUCACUGUAAAAGAGAUUGUCAAGGGUGAUAUACAAGGUCCUUUUGGUUCUGUGGUGUCAAUGGCUCUGGAGCUGGAGCUAGACCCUUGGGCCAGAGCUCCUCGGCUGUUAUUUGGUCCCAAAUCAGCCUCAUUUCUCUGGACCCUCAAUGGCAACCUGAGCAGCAUUUCUCCUGUCUGCACUACUCUGUAUAUCAGCAUCCCGGAGUGUAUUUCAGACUACAGUGAAGUCCCUCUCUCUGGGAAAAUGAAAGUAACAACAGAAGUUAUUCCAGGAACAGAAGGUCUGAGGCCAGUGCUGAGCCCUGACUGCUGGCCUGUAUUUACAGAGAUGGUGGUUCUGGAAAAAGUGUGCGGGGAAGAUCAUGUGUGUACAUCGGAUUUAAACGUGUCUCUAUCUUUUAUGAGGGAUACUGUAGUGAGUGCUGCUGGUUACCCAGUGAAUCUCUCUGUGGAGGUAUCCAAUAACGGAGAAGAUUCCACAGAUACAGAGCUUUUCCUUCAUCAUCCCACCAUCCUCUCCUUCACCCGCAUCAAAACGUCUGGUGUACAGGUUUGGUGUGAGUCCAGUCACAUAGAGCUCUCAAAUGUUACAUGCACAGCAUGCAAGCUUGGGGCAACACUUUUCCGACAGAAAGCAAAGACCACGCUGAUGGCGUCAUUCAUGCUGUCUGCACCCUUUGCUGUGAAUGAACAUCUGGUUGUCAAUGCAUCGGUCACAAGUAAGAAUGAGAACAAUGACACAUCCCAAGAUAAUCGCGCAACUACAUCUGUGGUGGUUAAAAUUCCUGUUAAUGUUGUGGUAAAUGAUGGAGGGUCAACUCGGUUUGUUGAAUAUCCUAACUGUGCACAACUUGAGCAUGUGUAUACGGUGGAGAACAUUGGAAAAUUGUCUGUACCUGUGAAUGUUUCCUUUGUGUUUCCAGUGAAGAUGGCUUUAGGUUUCUCGUGGAGUGUAUCUCUUCCUGAAAUAAAUGGAACCAGUACGACUUGUGAAAACCGAGUUUCCUCCACAAAUGGCAAAAGCUCCUUUCUGACACAUCAGCAUUGCAGUGCUUCUACAUGUCAUCUCAUUGUUUGCUCCAUCCAGCCGUUUCCUGAUCAACUAAUCAGAUUCAGGUUUACUGGGAAUAUCAGUUCAGGCAACCAGGGAUCUGGUUUGCGGGUUAGGAUCAUGAGCUGGGUGUUUCUCUCAUUUGACACUGAGAGGUACAUCCAGUAUCCCUCUGAUGACUCUCACCAGCUCUCUAUUGUGACAGAGCUGGAGGUCACGUCUCAGGCUCUCACAGUGCUUACUGCCUCACUGUCUGUAAUUUUUGGACUCAUCGCUAUGACGAUCAUCUUUGUGCUGCUGUAUAAAAGGGGAUUUUUCAAAGCUGCUUCAACUGAUGACCAAGACAACCCAGCACUAUCAUCUGCUGGUGAAGCUGAUUUGACUACAGUCAGCAGUGACCAAACUACAGCAGGAACCCCUGUGUCCAUCCCAGUACCAGGCACAUCUGUGCAGUGUGCAAGUUUUGGUUUAUAAUACUAGAUGUAGUCAUAAAUAUGUUGUACUUUUACAGCAUUCGUUAAAAUUGGUUAAAUGUCAUACAAACACAUUUUUACAUUACAAAUUGUAUAAAUGAACAUUAGGUGUAAUGUAUUAUGAAUGUGUUACAUGAACUGCUCCAAGAUUUAUAAAUUGCAGAUCCAUGUGCAGCUUUUAUUGAAACCAGUAAAUCCAAAAGAUAAAUAAUUCCAGAAGGCAAGGCAAAAGAAUAAUCCACAAAACAGGCAAGAUAUCCAAAAAAAACCAAAAACAAAGUAUAACCAAGACCAAAAGAACUCAAAAUAUAGUGUAACAAAACAAAUCCUCCAUGACACUGAUAUAGACAAUAGGCAGGACCCAAAUGAUCCAAAUGGAAGCAGCUGCAAACAGUCAUUUCACAUGAGACAUAAGCUGCAUCCCAAUUCAAAGACUGCAUCCUUCGGAUCCUUCGAAGGUUCGUAUAGGACGCUCUGAGUCUAGCCCUCGCAGAAUUUCCUAGUUGUGCCACCAGGUGUCCCCGAUUGCCGCUCCUGUCGCGUAGCAACUGUGCUAGAAUAAAGCUGCAAUCCAAACACGGUAUUCAUUAAUUAAACAGAAAACUAUGCAGCCAGAAAUGUUAAUUGUACUCUUCAUUUUUUUUUUUACCUUACUGGAAGAAACAGUAGGAAUGUUUCACCCCCGGCAGCUUCGGGUGAUGUAUCUCAGGCUUAGCAAAGGUCAUUGCUCAAGUUAGAAGCCAACGGGAAGAGCUACCAUCGGAAUAACGCGGAGACACAGCUGCUUUGCUUGACUCAGCCUCCCACCCACGCCAGGAAAAAUCACAUUUUUAAUUUGCUAAAGAGUCAUAUGUAGGCUAAUUUAAAAUUGAACCUGUAUGUCGUUUUUGUAGCAUUGAUGUAAUUCUUCUCUUUAUUUUUGCUUAAUUAUACAUUUAUGUAUUUUAUUUUUUCUUGCAAGCCCAUUUAUUCUCUGAUGUUUUGUUGUAGUUGCAUAUAUCUUUUUAUUUCUUAACAUCUAAUUAAAAAAAAGAAAGAAAAAAAAAACUUUUAAAAAUAAAAAUGUAGCCUAUGUUCCAACUAUUUGCAUGUCUAUUUUCUGUGGUUAGCCUAAAAGUAAAAUAAAAUGACAUUCAGAGAACUUAAAGCAAAAGUCCCCUAACGUCCCGAAUGGCCGCUGCACGUCCUAUGAACGGCCGGAGGACGUCUUCGCGAACGUCCGCUCGACAUCAAGGGGACCCUACACGCUGACGUCCAGGGGACGUUCGCAGAGGCCAUUUAGGGGACGUCCUGGGGACCUUUUUUUGUUAGCUGGGAUAAGUUCUGAAGUUGUAUAAUGAAUUCGCAUGAUGAUGGGGUGAGAUAAAUAAACACUGCCCAGUAUAUUAGAAUGAUUUCUGAAGGAUCAUGUGACACUGAAGACUGGAGUAAUGAUGCUGAAAAUUUAGUUCACAUGAAUAAAUUACAUUUUACAAUGCAUUCAUAUAGAAAAUAAUUGUUAUUGUAGUUCUAUUUCACAAUAUUACUGUUUUUACUGUAUGUUUAAUCAAAUGCAGGCUUAAGAUGUGAUCAGGAAAGUGUUUCUUUUACGUGAAAGAUAUAUUUAAUGUGUCAAUAAAUGUUUUGUUACUCUUU